rnacentral:rRNA from 1 species
AAACGCUUGAAGUCAGUCGCGUCUGCUGGGAUUCAGCCUUGCUUCUGCUUGGUGCACUUCCUAGUUGGACGGGUCAACAUCGAUUUCGACCGUCGGAUAAAGGUUUGAGGAAUGUGGCAUCUCCGGGUGUGUUAUAGCCUCUUAUCACAUACGUCGGCUGGGAUCGAGGAACUCAGCGUGCCAUUAUGGUCGGGGUUCGCCCACGUAACACGCUUAGGAUGUUGGCAUAAUGGCUUUAAGCGA